rnacentral:rRNA from 1 species
GGGGGAUAUUGCACAAUGGGGGAAACCCUGAUGCAGCGACGCCGCGUGAGUGAAGAAGUAUUUCGGUAUGUAAAGCCCUAUCAGCAGGGACGAAACUGACGGUACCUGAGGCAGAGGCGCCGGCGAACUACGUGCCAGCAGCCGCGGUAAUACGUAGGGGGCAAGCGUUAUCCGGAUUUACUGGGUGUAAAGGGAGCGUAGACGGUUAAGCAAGUCUGGAGUGAAAGGCGGGGGCUCAACCCCCGGACUGCUCUGGAAACUGUAUAACUAGAGUGCAGGAGGGGUAAGUGGAAUUCCUAGUGUAGCGGUGAAAUGCGUAGAUAUUAGGAGGAACACCAGUGGCGAAGGCGGCUUACUGGACUGUAACUGACGUUGAGGCUCGAAAGCGUGGGGAGCAAACAGG